AAUGCACCCCCCUUCUUCCCCGGGGCCUUCCACCUCCGCGAGUUUUAUGACUUAAAAAACCCCACAGGCUGGUCUGAAGAGGAAGACAAACAUAAAGAUGAAGUGCUUAAUUCAAGGUCACACAAUGUCGGGGAUGGACCUCCAGAUUUCCUUACUGACCUGCAUUAUCUUGUGGAUACCUGAGUGAAUUCCACACCACCCAUUUUAUAGAUGAAACCACUGAGACAUGGAGCAACUGACUGAGUAGUCACUGCCCCACCCCUGCCUGGAGCCUCACACAUGACUCGUCUCCUCUCAGUGACCACAGGAAAACAAGCUCAGGGCUCCCACUGAUUGUACAUUAUGGUGAGACGUGGUCUUGUAACACAGUGGUUAAGAAUGUGACUUUGGAGCCAGCCUGCUAGGGGCUGAAUUCUGACUCAGCCAUUUACUAACUGUGUGACCUUAGGGAGGAGGACCUGGUUGAUAGAAGAAUUUAUCUCGUAGUCUUAACAUCCACUGUAAUUCCAAACUUUGAGGACGAUAGAGAUCAGUGGGCUUUGACUGCCCAGCAUGCAGUCUCCAUUCUUAGGUCACAGAAUUUUCCACACUCCUUGACGGAGGUGCUUAACCCUUAUCCAUCAGCAUUCUCAGACAGCACCUCCGGUUAGGGACAGUAUCUGACCGUCCGACAUCCCUGCAGCCCCCAUGUGUCACACAGACUCAGCCUCAGGUAGAUGGUUUCCGUAGAUGGUGGCUUUCUU
rnacentral:antisense_RNA from 1 species